UUGGUAUUCUUCCACCAUCCCUAUCUACUUCAGAUUAGCCAAUUCACCCAAAAAAUUGCUACUGAGUGGAGGCUUGAAUAUCAAAUUGCAAUAUUCUUUAAACGCAUUCCAUGAUAGCUAGUGUCCUUCUUGUUUUAAUCUACAGAACCAGAGUUGUGCCUCUCCUGUCAUAUGGAAGGCUUCAAGGUUCAACUUAUCUGUUUCUGUUUCUGUUUCUAGCAUCUGUUAAUUUGAAAAAAAUUGUUCACAUCAGUG
rnacentral:misc_RNA from 1 species